GAGUUUGAUCCUGGCUCAGAUUGAACGCUGGCGGAAUGCUUUACACAUGCAAGUCGAGCGGCAGCGCGGGGCAACCUGGCGGCGAGCGGCGAACGGGUGAGUAAUGCAUCGGAACAUGUCCUGUCGUGGGGGAUAGCCCGGCGAAAGCCGGAUUAAUACCGCAUACGUCCGAGAGGAGAAAGUGGGGGACCGAAAGGCCUCACGCGAUUGGGUUGGCCGAUGUCCGAUUAGCUAGUUGGUGGGGUAAAGGCCCACCAAGGCGAUGAUCGGUAGCUGGUCUGAGAGGAUGAUCAGCCACACUGGGACUGAGACACGGCCCAGACUCCUACGGGAGGCAGCAGUGGGGAAUUUUGGACAAUGGGGGCAACCCUGAUCCAGCCAUUCCGCGUGAGUGAAGAAGGCC
rnacentral:rRNA from 1 species